rnacentral:rRNA from 1 species
CACGUAGGGUGCAAGCGUUGUUCGGAAUUACUGGGCGUAAAGGGCGCGUAGGCGGUCCGAUAAGUCCUGUGUGAAAUCCCUCGGCUCAACUGAGGAACUGCACGGGAGACUGUCGGGCUUGAGUUCGGGAGAGGGAAGCGGAAUUCCGGGUGUAGCGGUGAAAUGCGUAGAUAUCCGGGAGGAACACCGGUGGCGAAGGCGGCUUCCUGGACCGACACUGACGCUGAGGCGCGAAAGCUAGGGGAGCAAACGGG